ensembl:lncRNA
AAGAAGAACAAGCGCCGCAUGAGAAGGGUGCAGGCCCAGAGGAGAGUCCUUGAGGAGCAGCAUUCUACUGGCGCAGGCAAAGGAACCCCAGGAGUGGCUGCCGUGGCACCCCCCCUUGAAAUAUUAAAUUGUCCCCCCCUUCUCUCACCCCCUCCAGUAGUAAAGGUCCCAGUCGUAAAGCCCCCUGAAAUAUCCAAUUGUCACCCCCUUAUUCCCCCCACUAUAGUAGUAAAGGUCCCAUUCGUACAGCCACCGGCCCCAGUCAAAGUACCAGAUCCUGAGGCUGUGGUGACGGUGGUAGAGCCUGAAGUGGUAGCAGCUGAGGUUGAAGUUGAGGCCCCAGUCGAAGCUCCAGUGGAGGUUGAAGUCGAGGCCCCAGAAGAAGUUCCAGAAGAAGUCCCAGUCGAGGCCCCAGAAGAAGUCCCAGUCGAGGCCCCAGUCGAGGCCCCAGAAGAAGUCCCAGUCGAGGCCCCAGAAGAAGUCCCAGUCGAGGCCCCAGAAGAAGUCCCAGCCGAGACCCCAGAAGAAGUCCCAGUCGAGGCCCCAGAAGAAGUCCCAGUCGAGGCCCCAGAAGAAGUCCCAGUCGAGGCCCCAGAAGAAGUCCCAGUCGAGGCCCCAGAAGAAGUCCCAGUCGAGGCCCCAGAAGAAGUCCCAGUCGAGACCCCAGAAGAAGUCCCAGUCGAGGCUCCAGAAGAAGUCCCAGUUGAGGUCCCAGUCGUAGAAGCAGAAGCUCCUGUUGAGCCCCCUACAGAAGAAACUGCAGCAGGGCAGGAAGUUGAAGAAAGCAUCAUUCCAGAGACUGAGCCAGUAACUGAGGUUCAGGUCGCAAACUCCGUAGCGAUUACCACAGAGAUCGCACAGACUCAUGAUGAGCCGGGGCUCGAGGCUGAAGUGGAGGCUGAAAUAGUUGACGAGGUCCAAGCGAAAGUAGAGGCAGUAGUUGAGGAAGAACCAGAGCCCGAUCCCAUGGUCAAGGCCGAAGCUGCCCCAGUUGUAGAAGCUGAACUUGAACUGUCGGGAAUCAAAGACGGAGACAGUCCUAUCGUCAAAGCUGAAGCCAUUCCUGAAGAUAUUGAUGUAGAAGAGCAUGAGACUGUUAUGGCAGAGGCACCUGAAGAGGUUCCAGUGCAGACAGAAAUUAUCCCAGAAAAGCUGUGGAAGCCCGUGGAAGCACCGAUUGAAGAAGCCCCCGUAGCCAAGAUCGCUCCAGCAGAGCUCCUCGUAGAGGCCUCAGUAGACCCUGUCAUCAACACAAUGGCUGACUUUGCCAUCACAGAAUCUGUUCCCGUUGUGGAAGCAGCCAUGGCUGAGCAGGUGCCCGCAGUUUCAACGGAUUCACUUGACGCCCUAUCGGAGUUGCUGAACGACAUCACUCUAGUCACUGAGCCCGCCCCUGUCACAGCUGAUAAAGUCAUUGACGCUAAAGAGGAAAUUGGAGCCCAGAUGGAAAUCGAGGCUAAAAAGGAUGCCAUAGAUGAGAAGACGGUCCUUGACGUCAUCUCUGGAGAUUUAUCCACCCCCCACCCUGUUAUCUCAGAACUGCAGUGUCACACGCAGCUCGCCGCCCCCAAGGAAAUCCCAACAGAGGCAGUGCUGAAUGGACAGAUGGCAGCUGAGGUGGCCAUUGAGGGAUAGAUCUCUAUGGAUGUCCUCAGUCAGUAUGAAAGACUAAAGAGAGCCUGACAGUGAGCCGACCAGCGAACUUUACUUUUCAUUUUUUAGGGCUUAAAGGGACCGCUGGGAAAUUUGACAGACAUCCAACACUCAGUGCCUUUCUUGCUUGGGUUCUUACAAACAAAAUAUUAAACAAGUUUAAAAUGCGACAUGAAGGUGGGGGAAUAACACUUUUUUGUUGUUGAUCAGAAUGUGACAAUUUGGAAUAAACAAAUCAUGGCUUUCAUAGAUUUCUGUAUCCCAUUGCAUAUAUUGUGGAUUUGCCUCAAUUGUAAAUGGCAUGCAUUGUGUAUGAAUACUGUAGAAUUAAUGAAUGUGGCAAUGGCUUGUCUUCACAUGUUUGUAUGGAUGAGAGGGAUUAAUUCCUUGUACACGUUUCCUGUUUUAACCUGGUUUGAUUCCUUUUUGUGAAGGGACAGUAUGGCAGUUUGUACAGUACCAUAGCUACCCCCUCUUCUCCCUAUCCCCAUUGUGGUACUUUUGUUUUUUCAGGGACUGUAUGAUGACAGCUCCACCCUCUUUACUGUGUAGUGUCAGUGUGUCUACAGUCCCAAGUCUGUCCUGGGCAAUGUGAAAUGGUGUGUAGUUUUAGGUCCUCUGACCAGAUGCUCUUAACAUUUAAUUACCUAUGCUGCCAACUUAAAAUAGAGUAUGGGGGCCUGUAGAUCCUGUUUUUAGUUUUUCUUUUCUUUUUCUGUUUUGUAUAGACCAUAUGAUGUGGUACAACCGCUGUUUGUGUUCAGUUACGUGCUCUGGAAUUGACCAUGGAGUUGUCAUGUAAUUGAGGAGCUGGGUUGGAUUUCAUUCACCUUUUUGAAUAAAGAUGUUACUCACCAAGUUCUU